AUGAGAUUUACGAGAGACGUUUUUACUUAUGUAAAAAGGCCGAAGAAGCAAUCUGAAAAUAGCCAUUAAAUUUUCAAGAGAAACUUUCAGGCAAAAAUAUCGUAAAUUAAUG
rnacentral:ncRNA from 2 species